AGUGAACGCUGGCGGUAGGCCUAACACAUGCGAGUCGAACGGCAGCACAGUAAGAGCUUGUUCUUACGGGUGGCGAGUGGCGGACGGGUGAGGGAUACAUCGGAAUCUACUUUUUCGUGGGGGAUAACGUAGGGAAACUUACGCUAAUACCGCUUACGACGUACGGGUGAAAGCAGGGGAUCUUCGGACCUUGCGCGAUUCAAUGAGCCGAUGUCGGAUUAGCUAGUUGGCGGGGUAAAGGCCCACCAAGGCGACGAUCCGUAGCUGGUCUGAGAGGAUGAUCAGCCACACUGGAACUGAGACACGGUCCAGACUCCUACGGGAGGCAGCAGUGGGGAAUAUUGGACAAUGGGCGAAAGCCUGAUCCAGCCAUACCGCGUGGGUGAAGAAGGCCUUCGGGUUGUAAAGCCCUUUUGUUGGGAAAGAAGAGCAGCAGGUUAAUACCCCGCUGUUCUGACGGUACCCAAAGAAUAAGCACCGGCUAACUUCGUG
rnacentral:rRNA from 1 species